AGCUAGGUGAACUUGCAAUUAUUUUUAAAGAAGCGGUUGCUCCUUAUGAGCGUCCAACUCUUAGCAAGGGAUCCCUUCUUCCUGAGAUUAAGUUUUCAAAACUUCUAAAUCAUCAAAGUUGAAAAAUAUAACAACAUACAACUUCCAUUGGAACAUGAAAGAC